UACGGAGGGAGCAAGCGUUGUUCGGAUUUACUGGGCGUAAAGGGUGCGUAGGCGGCACCACAAGUCACUUGUGAAAUCUUUGGGCUUAACCCAAAGCGGCCAAGUAAUACUGUAGAGCUAGAGUGCAGAAGGGGCAACUGGAAUUCUUGGUGUAGCGGUGAAAUGCGUAGAUAUCAAGAGGAACACCUGAGGCGAAGGCGGGUUGCUGGGCUGACACUGACGCUGAGGCGCGAAAGCUAGGGGAGCAAACAGG
rnacentral:rRNA from 1 species